rnacentral:rRNA from 1 species
GGCAUAUAGUCCUCGCUUUUCACCACCGUAAGGUGGUGGUGGAAUAAGUGCUGGGCAAGACCGGUGCCAGCCGCCGCGGUAAUACCGGCAGCACGAGUGAUGACCGCUAUUAUUGGGCCUAAAGCGUCCGUAGCUGGCCACGCAAGUCUAUCGGGAAAUCUGCGCGCUUAACGCGCAGGCGUCCGGUGGAAACUGCGUGGCUUGGGACCGGAAGACCAGAGGGGUACGUCCGGGGUAGGAGUGAAAUCCCGUAAUCCUGGACGGACCACCGGUGGCGAAAGCGCCUCUGGAAGACGGAUCCGACGGUGAGGGACGAAAGCUCGGGUCACGAACCGGAUUAGAUACCCGGGUAGUCCGAGCUGUAAACGAUGUCUGCUAGGUGUGGCACAGGCUACGAGCCUGUGCUGUGCCGUAGGGAAGCCGAGAAGCAGACCGCCUGGGAAGUACGUCCGCAAGGAUGAAACUUAAAGGAAUUGGGGGGGGACCCACA